rnacentral:rRNA from 1 species
GAUGAACGCUGGCGGCGUGCCUAAUACAUGCAAGUCGAGCGAACAGACGAGGAGCUUGCUCCUCUGACGUUAGCGGCGGACGGGUGAGUAACACGUGGAUAACCUACCUAUAAGACUGGGAUAACUUCGGGAAACCGGAGCUAAUACCGGAUAAUAUAUUGAACCGCAUGGUUCAAUAGUGAAAGACGGUUUUGCUGUCACUUAUAGAUGGAUCCGCGCCGCAUUAGCUAGUUGGUAAGGUAACGGCUUACCAAGGCGACGAUGCGUAGCCGGCCGGGGAGGGGGAUCGGCCACACUGGAACGGGAACACGGUCCAAACCCCAACGGGAGGGAGCAGUAGGGAAGCUUCCGGAAUGGGGGAAAGGCUGACCGGGACAACCCGGGGGAGUGAAGAAAGGUUUUGGAUCGUAAAAUUCUGUUUGUGGAGAAGAAAGAAAGUGGGAAUUGCCAUGACAGGCAUUGACGGUACCUAACCAGAAAGCGACGGCAAACUCCGUG